GCGAACGGGUGAGUAACGCGUGAGCAAUCUACCUUAGUUACAGGGAUAGCCCGAGGAAACUCGGAUUAAUACCUGAUAUUCUUUACAUUUCGCAUGAAAUCAAAAGGAAAGGUCAGCCGAACUAAGAUGAGCUCGCGUUCUAUCAGCUAGUUGGUGAGGUAAAAGCUCACCAAGGCAACGACGGAUAGCUGGUCUGAGAGGACGAUCAGCCACACUGGGACUGAGACACGGCCCAGACUCCUACGGGAGGCUGCAGCAGGGAAUAUUGCGCAAUGAGCGAAAGCUUGACGCAGCGACACCGCGUGUGGGAUGACGGAUCUACGUUUGUAAACCACUUUCAGGAGGGAAGAAAAUGACGGUACCUCCACAAGAAGCCCCGGCCAACUACGUGCCAGCAGCCGCGGUAAUACGUACGGGGCGAACGUUGUCCGGAUUUAUUGGGCGUAAAG
rnacentral:rRNA from 1 species